rnacentral:rRNA from 1 species
ACGCUAGCUACAGGCUUAACACAUGCAAGUCGAGGGGCAGCAUGGUCUUAGCUUGCUAAGGCCGAUGGCGACCGGCGCACGGGUGAGUAACACGUAUCCAACCUGCCGUCUACUCUUGGACAGCCUUCUGAAAGGAAGAUUAAUACAAGAUGGCAUCAUGAGUCCGCAUGUUCACAUGAUUAAAGGUAUUCCGGUAGACGAUGGGGAUGCGUUCCAUUAGAUAGUAGGCGGGGUAACGGCCCACCCAGUCUUCGAUGGAUAGGGGUUCUGAGAGGAAGGUCCCCCACAUUGGAACUGAGACACGGUCCAAACUCCUACGGGAGGCAGCAGUGAGGAAUAUUGGUCAAUGGGCGAGAGCCUGAACCAGCCAAGUAGCGUGAAGGAUGACUGCCUUAUGGGUUGUAAACUUCUUUUAUAAAGGAAUAAAGUCGGGUAUGGAUACCCGUUUGCAUGUACUUUAUGAAUAAGGAUCGGCUAACUCCGUGCCAGCAGCCGCGGUAAUACGGAGGAUUCGAGCGUUAUCCGGAUUUAUUGGGUUUAGAGGGAGCGUAGAUGGAUGUUUAAGUCAGUUGUGAAAGUUUGCGGCUCAACCGUAAAAUUGCAGUUGAUACUGGAUAUCUUGAGUGCAGUUGAGGCAGGCGGAAUUCGUGGUGUAGCGGUGAAAUGCUUAGAUAUCACGAAGAACUCCGAUUGCGAAGGCAGCCUGCUAAGCUGCAACUGACAUUGAGGCUCGAAAGUGUGGGUAUCAAACAGGAUUAGAUACCCUGGUAGUCCACACGGUAAACGAUGAAUACUCGCUGUUUGCGAUAUACGGCAAGCGGCCAAGCGAAAGCGUUAAGUAUUCCACCUGGGGAGUACGCCGGCAACGGUGAAACUCAAAGGAAUUGACGGGGGCCCGCACAAGCGGAGGAACAUGUGGUUUAAUUCGAUGAUACGCGAGGAACCUUACCCGGGCUUAAAUUGCAGAUGAAUUACGGUGAAAGCCGUAAGCCGCAAGGCAUCUGUGAAGGUGCUGCAUGGUUGUCGUCAGCUCGUGCCGUGAGGUGUCGGCUUAAGUGCCAUAACGAGCGCAACCCUUGUUGUCAGUUACUAACAGGUUCUGCUGAGGACUCUGACAAGACUGCCAUCGUAAGAUGUGAGGAAGGUGGGGAUGACGUCAAAUCAGCACGGCCCUUACGUCCGGGGCUACACACGUGUUACAAUGGGGGGUACAGAGGGCCGCUACCACGCGAGUGGAUGCCAAUCCCAAAAACCUCUCUCAGUUCGGACUGGAGUCUGCAACCCGACUCCACGAAGCUGGAUUCGCUAGUAAUCGCGCAUCAGCCACGGCGCGGUGAAUACGUUCCCGGGCCUUGUACACACCGCCCGUCAAGCCAUGGGAGCCGGGGGUACCUGAAGUGCGUAACCGCGAGGAGCCCCCUAGGGUAAAACUGGUGACUG